CCUACGGGGGGCAGCAGUCGAGAAUUAUUCACAAUGGGGGAAACCCUGAUGGUGCGACGCCGCGUGGGGGAAUGAAGGUCUUCGGAUUGUAAACCCCUGUCAUGUGGGAGCAAAUUAAAAAGAUAGUACCACACGAGGAAGAGACGGCUAACUCUGUGCCAGCAGCCGCGGUAAUACAGAGGUCUCAAGCGUUGUUCGGAAUCACUGGGCGUAAAGCGUGCGUAGGCUGUUUCGUAAGUCGUGUGUGAAAGGCGCGGGCUCAACCCGCGGACGGCACAUGAUACUGCGAGACUAGAGUAAUGGAGGGGGAACCGGAAUUCUCGGUGUAGCAGUGAAAUGCGUAGAUAUCGAGAGGAACACUCGUGGCGAAGGCGGGUUCCUGGACAUUAACUGACGCUGAGGUACGAAGGCCAGGGGAGCGAAAGGGAUUAGAUACCCUUGUAGUC
rnacentral:rRNA from 1 species